rnacentral:tRNA from 1 species
GGUUGUGGCUCAGUGGUGGAGCACUCGUCUAUCACCUGUGAGGCCCUGGGUUCGAGAUCCUCAGCAUCA